GAAACUACAAUUUUCAUCAACAAAACAAAUCAAAAGAGUAAAAUUAAACCAACUGACCAGGUAGCAAAAGUUUGAGUCCUAACCGAAUUGACUUGAUUGCUAAAACAUUUUUCGGUAACGGUCUUGUAAAACUCUAAGGGUUUUAGGCCUUUAUGAGCAGAAAUCGGGGUCCAAAAUAGCAUAGAAUUAAGGUUGAUAGACAUGAUUAACCAAAGGAACAAUAAGUAGCAUGAUGAACUAAAAGUGAGAUUUCCACGGCAAACAGUGAAAAUAAGAUGAACAUUGACCAAACAACAACUGUAACCAUCAUAAUCAAAUAUCCUACGGCAACCUUCUACAGCAAACAAUUCUCACACGAUUACGACCAAGCGAUUAUGACACUAUUAACAUGAAAACAGUGAAAUCAUUCAAAAGCAGUCGAAUUGAAAACCUCAACACAAUUAUCGAUUCAACGGAAUAACAACCAGUAACAAGUUAAUCCUACGGCUUUCAUAGCCAUAUCCAGCUACUCCCCCAGCAAACAAUCUUACAAUUACGACAUUACAAAGAAGGAGACGAAGAAAAAGAAAACCAUAACAGAAGUUAAAACGGAAAAAACGUUUACCUCUUUCUGAGCAGCAAAAUGGGGCAACGAGCUAACACCGAACUCUAUCACCACCGGAGAAUUCUUCCACGACUCCGAAAGCUCCGAGCAGCCCCAACCUUCCUUGGGAAGAAGAAAAUUUAUACUCAAACAAAAAUAUACUGGUUUUUUUCUCAAAAUGGCUUUUUUCACCUUUCGAGACUUGUCAAUUUAGCUCAAGAAUCAGCUACAUAUAGCGAACAAUGUGGGGAAUUAAUUGGAAAUCUUUUAAGGGAGAAUUUCAAAAUUGAGGCUGAAGAAAGGAAUUUCCAGCUCAUAAUUUUGUACGAAAAUUGACUUCUUUUUUUUUUCGGAGAAAUUUGAACAGAUGAACUAAUAGAAGUUGGGGUAAAGGGGGAAUUUUCGCAAUAGCCAAUGAAAUUUGUACAAAUUUGUACAAAUCAAACCGCUUGGGAGGACACCUCGACCUUUUUCUAGAAAAUUUGGCUCUUUCUUAGUAUACCAUCGCGUGGUGUCACGUGAGGAGAGAAACC
rnacentral:lncRNA from 1 species